rnacentral:sRNA from 1 species
AUCAACUUUCGAUGGUAGGAUAGCGGCCUACCAUGGUGGUAACGGGUAACGGGGUGUUAGGGCACGACACCGGAGAGGGAGCCUGAGAAACGGCUACCACAUCCAAGGAUGGCAGCAGGCGCGCAAAUUACCCAAUCCCGACACGGGGAGGUAGUGACAAUAAAUAACAAUACGGGGUUCUUUCGGAUUUCGUAAUUGGAAUGAGUACAAUUUAAAUCUCUUAACGAGGAACAAUUGGAGGGCAAGUCUGGUGCCAGCAGCCGCGGUAAUUCCAGCUCCAAUAGCGUAUAUUAAAGUUGUUGCAGUUAAAAAGCUCGUAGUUGAAUUUCGGGGUCAGUAGAUUGGUCGUGCCACUGGUAUGCACUGGUCUCACUGGCUCCUCCUUCCUGAUGAACCGUAAUGCCAUUAAUUUGGUGUUGCGGGGAGACUGGACUGUUACUUUGAAAAAAUUAGAGUGUUUAAAGCAGGCUAACGCUUGAAUACAUUAGCAUGGAAUAAUGAAAUAGGACGUUCGAUCUUAUUUUGUUGGUUUCUAAGAUUGACGUAAUGAUUAAUAGGGAUAGUUGGGGGCAUUAGUAUUCAAUUGUCAGAGGUGAAAUUCUUGGAUUUAUUGAAGACUAACUACUGCGAAAGCAUUUGCCAAGGAUGUUUUCAUUAAUCAAGAACGAAAGUUAGGGGAUCGAAGACGAUCAGAUACCGUCGUAGUCUUAACCAUAAACUAUGCCGACUAGGGAU